GACGAACGCUGGCGGCGUGCCUAAUACAUGCAAGUAGAACGCUGAAGGAGGAGCUUGCUUCUCUGGAUGAGUUGCGAACGGGUGAGUAACGCGUAGGUAACCUGCCUGGUAGCGGGGGAUAACUAUUGGAAACGAUAGCUAAUACCGCAUAAUAGUAGAUGUUGCAUGACAUUUGCUUAAAAGGUGCAAUUGCAUCACUACCAGAUGGACCUGCGUUGUAUUAGCUAGUUGGUGGGGUAACGGCUCACCAAGGCGACGAUACAUAGCCGACCUGAGAGGGGGAUCGGCCAACCUGGGACUGAGACACGGCCCAGACUCCUACGGGAGGCAGCAGUAGGGAAUUUUCGGCAAUGGGCGGAAGUCUGACCGAGCAACGCCGCGUGGGUGAAAAAGGUUUUCGGAUCGUAAAGCUCUGUUGUAAGAGAAGAAAGAGUGGGGGGGGGGAAAGUUCACACUGUGACGGUAUCUUACCAAAAAGGGGCGGCUAACUACGU
rnacentral:rRNA from 1 species